rnacentral:misc_RNA from 1 species
GAUGAAGAACGUAGCAAAAUGCGAUACUUGGUGUGAAUUGCAGAAUCCCGUGAACCAUCGAGUUUUUGAACGCAAGUUGCGCCCGAAGCCUUUUGGCCGAGGGCACGUCUGCCUGGGCGUCACGCAUCGCGUCGCCCCCCACAAUUCUCCGUAAAGGGAACAUGUGUUUUGGGGGCGGAUAUUGGUCUCCCGUGCUCAUGGCGUGGUUGGCCGAAAUAGGAGUCCUUUCGAUGGACGCACGAACUAGUGGUGGUCGUAAAAACCCUCGUCUUUUGUUUCGUGCUGUUGGUCGCAAGGUAAACUCUUUAAAAACCCCAACGUGUCGUCUCUUGACGACGCUUCGACCGCGACCCCAGGUCAGGCGGGACUACCCGCUGAGUUUAAGCAUAUCAAUAAGCGGAGGA